rnacentral:lncRNA from 1 species
GAAAGUAAAGAACACAAAGAUUUUUUGGCCUUAGAAGCCCCAUAGAUUCAGUGAUCGCUUCUAACGGUUAGUCUCGCGUUGGGCAUCGGUUAAAAUUAAGCUCAACUCCACUAGUACAGCCUCAAUCAUAGGCAAAAGUAUUAAUUACAGAAGAACACAAAUUGUUCAGAUUUAUCUCUCUAGCAAACUCUCACAAGAAAUCACUCGAAGUAUCAUCCAGAAGAUGAAAAUUACAAAGAGUACAUGAAGAAGACAAACGAGAGGAGAGGCUAGGGUUCAGUAUG